AACGAACGCUGGCGGCGCGCCUAAUACAUGCAAGUCGAGCGAGAAGGUGUAGCAAUACACUUGUAAAGCGGCGAACGGGUGAGGAAUGCAUGGGUAACCUACCCUCGAGUGGGGAAUAACUAGCCGAAAGGUUAGCUAAUACCGCAUACGUUUCCGGAACUUCGGUUUCGGAAAGAAAGCAAUACCGUGGGUAUUGCGCUCAUGGAUGGGCUCAUGUCCUAUCAGCUUGUUGGUGAGGUAACGGCUCACCAAGGCUUCGACGGGUAGCUGGUCUGAGAGGACGAUCAGCCACACUGGCACUGCGACACGGGCCAGACUCCUACGGGAGCAGCAGUAAGGAAUAUUGCGCAAUGGACGAAAGUCUGACGCAGCGACGCCGCGUGGGGGAUGAAGGUCUUCGGAUUGUAAACCCCUUUCGGGAGGAGAUGGAGUGGGGUAACCACUUGGACGGUACCUCCAGAAGC
rnacentral:rRNA from 1 species